rnacentral:rRNA from 1 species
CCCUUAGAUGUUCUGGGCCGCACGCGCGCUACACUGACGAUGGCAACGAGUUUUUCCUUCGCCGAAAGGUGUGGGUAAUCUUUUGAAACAUCGUCGUGCUGGGGAUAGAUCAUUGCAAUUUUUGAUCUUGAACGAGGAAUUCCUAGUAAGCGCGAGUCAUCAGCUCGCGUGGAUUACGUCCCUGCCCUUUGUACACACCGCCCGUCGCUACUACCGAUUGAAUGGUUUAGUGAGGACUCCUGAUUGGCGCCGCCGCCCCGGCAACGGAGCAGCGGACUGCCGAAAAGUUGUUCAAACUUGAUCAUUUAGAGGAAGUAAAAGUCGUAACA